GGCAUGCCUUACACAUGCAAGUCGAACGGCAGCGGGGACUUCGGUCCGCCGGCGAGUGGCGAACGGGUGAGUAAUAUAUCGGAACGUACCUUUCAGUGGGGGAUAACGUAGCGAAAGUUACGCUAAUACCGCAUACGAUCUAUGGAUGAAAGCGGGGGAUCGCAAGACCUCGCGCGAUUGGAGCGGCCGAUAUCAGAUUAGCUAGUUGGUGGGGUAAAGGCCUACCAAGGCUACGAUCUGUAGCGGGUCUGAGAGGAUGAUCCGCCACACUGGAACUGAGACACGGUCCAGACUCCUACGGGAGGCAGCAGUGGGGAAUUUUGGACAAUGGGCGCAAGCCUGAUCCAGCCAUGCCGCGUGAGUGAAGAAGGCCUUCGGGUUGUAAAGCUCUUUCGGCCGGGAAGAAAUCGCAUGGGUUAAUACCCUGUGCGGAUGACGGUACCGGCAUAAGAAGCACCGGCUAACUACGUGCCAGCAGCCGCGGUAAUACGUAGGGUGCGAGCGUUAAUCGGAAUUACUGGGCGUAAAGCGUGCGCAGGCGGUUUAGUAAGACAGGCGUGAAAUCCCCGGGCUCAACCUGGGAACUGCGCUUGUGACUGCUAAGCUAGAGUACGGCAGAGGGGGGUGGAAUUCCACGUGUAGCAGUGAAAUGCGUAGAGAUGUGGAGGAACACCGAUGGCGAAGGCAGCCCCCUGGGCCGAUACUGACGCUCAUGCACGAAAGCGUGGGUAGCAAACAGGAUUAGAUACCCUGGUAGUCCACGCCCUAAACGAUGUCAACUGGUUGUUGGGUCUUUGCUGACUCAGUAACGAAGCUAACGCGUGAAGUUGACCGCCUGG
rnacentral:rRNA from 1 species